rnacentral:ncRNA from 1 species
GACUUGAUUAGAUUGAGCCUUGGUAUGGAAACCUGCUAAGUGGUAACUUCCAAAUUCAGAGAAACCCUGGAAUUAAAAAUGGGCAAUCCUGAGCCAAAUCUUUAUGUUAAGAAAACAAAAGAUAGGUGCAGAGACUCAAUGGAAGCUGUUCUAACAAAUGGAAUUGACGUUGACUACGUUGCGUUGGUAGCUGGAAUCCCUCUAUCGAAAUUACAGAAAGGAUGACCCUAUAUGCGUAUAUAUACAUACUGACAUAUCAAACGAUUAAUCACAACUCGAAUCUGGAAUCCAUAUUAUUAACUAUAACUAUAUAUUAUAGUUAUUAUUAUAUAUAUUUUUAUAUAUUUAAAAAAAGAUAUAUUUUUAUAUAAAUUUAUAGAUUAAUUAAGAGUUAUUAUAAAUAUAUUCCAGUCGAAGUUGAAGGAAGAAUCGAAUAUUCAGUAUUCAGUGAUCAAAUCAUUCAUUCCGGAGUCGGAUAGAUCUUUUGAAAAAAAUGAUUAAUCGGACGAGAAUAAAGAGAGAGUCCUGUUCUACGUGUCAAUACCGACAGCAAUGAAAUUUAUAGUAUUAGGAAAAUCCGUCGACUUUAGAAAUCGUGA